GUGCCUACGGACACGUUUCGGCUCCAGUUCUCCCCUCUGGUUUGCCUCCAGCUCUUGCGGACAACAUCAGCCCUCUGGGGACUUGGACUGAUUCUCCAGUUAGCGCAUACCUGUCCCACUCCUGUCUGCAAGAUUUGGAGCCCUGUCUGUGCUUCCAGUUCAGACUUCACCAGCCCUGCAGGGAGGACAAAGGGACCACUGCAGUGCUGGGUACAGAGAGGACACCAGAGCAUCUGAGACAAGUAAGUGGAUUGGAGCCAGACCAC
rnacentral:lncRNA from 10 species